rnacentral:rRNA from 1 species
UACGUAGGGUGCAAGCGUUAAUCGGAAUUACUGGGCGUAAAGCGUGCGCAGGCGGUUCUAUAAGACAGAUGUGAAAUCCCCGGGCUCAACCUGGGAAUGGCAUUUGGGACUGCAAGGCUGGAGUGCGGCAGAGGAGACUGGAGUUCCUGGUGUAGCAGUGAAAUGCGUAGAUAUCAGGAGGAACACCGAUGGCGAAGGCAGGUCUCUGGGCUGACACUGACGCUCAUGCACGAAAGCGUGGGGAGCAAACAGG